rnacentral:rRNA from 1 species
UGCCCUUCACACUGGGAUACCCCCCGGAAACGGGUGCUAAUACCAGAUACAACCACUUCAGGCAUCUGAUGGUGGUGGAAAGUUCUGGCGGUGAAGGAUGAGCUCGCGGCCUAUCAGCUUGUUGGUGAGGUAAUGGCCCACCAAGGCUUCGACGGGUAGCCGGCCUGAGAGGGUGACCGGCCACACNNNACUGAGACACGGCCCAGACUCCUACGGGAGGCAGCAGUGGGGAAUAUUGGACAAUGGGCGAAAGCCUGAUCCAGCAACGCCGCGUGAGGGAUGACGGCCUUCGGGUUGUAAACCUCUUUCAGCAGGGACGAAGCGAAAGUGACGGUACCUGCAGAAGAAGCACCGGCCAACUACGUGCCAGCAGCCGCGGUAAUACGUAGGGUGCGAGCGUUGUCCGGAAUUAUUGGGCGUAAAGGGCUCGUAGGCGGUUUGUCACGUCGGGAGUGAAAACUCAGGGCUUAACCCUGAGCCUGCUUCCGAUACGGGCAGACUAGAGGUAUGCAGGGGAGAACGGAAUUCCUGGUGUAGCGGUGAAAUGCGCAGAUAUCAGGAGGAACACCGGUGGCGAAGGCGGUUCUCUGGGCAUUACCUGACGCUGAGGAGCGAAAGUGUGGGGAGCGAACAGGAUUAGAUACCCUGGUAGUCCACACCGUAAACGUUGGGCGCUAGGUGUGGGACUCAUUCCACGAGUUCCGUGCCGCAGCUAACGCAUUAGGCGCCCCGCCUGGGGAGUACGGCCGCAAGGCUAAAACUCAAAGGAAUUGACGG